AUUGAACGCUGGCGGCAAGCCAAACAAAUGCAAGUCGAACGAGUGGCGGACGGGUGAGUAAUGUCUGGGCAACUGCCUGAUGGAGGGGGAUAACUACUGGAAACGGUAGCUAAUACCGCAUACCAUCGGAUGUGCCCAGAUGGGAUUAGCUCGUAGGUGGGGUAAAGGCUCACCUAGGCGACGAUCCCUAGCUGGUCUGAGAGGAUGACCAGCCACACGGGAACGGAGCCACGGUCCAGACUCCUACGGGAGGCAGCAGUGGGGAAUAUGGCACAAUGGGCGCAAGCCUGAUGCAGCCAUGCCGCGUGUAUGAAGAAGGCCUUCGGGUUGUAUAGUACUUUCAGCGGGGAGGCGUUACCCGCAGAAGAAGCACCGGCUAACUCCGUGCCAGCAGCCGCGGUAAUUC
rnacentral:rRNA from 1 species